CCGAGAUUUGCCCGGGAAGAAUCCCAUUGCAGUGGCAAACAGGAUGGAACUAUUGAACUGAGGAAAAAAAGCCGGUUUAGUUCCCAAUUAAACUGAGAUAUAAAGGAAUGACUGGCGGAAUCAAAGGCUGAGCAGAAAUGAAAGCAGUGCCAAAAACUCAAGCUCGUUCCCACCGAUCCCGACGACGGAAUGUUUUGUUCAGCAGCGCCGGCUUAUUUUGAAGCUGUGUUAAGUUGUCCGGGGCCAUAGGUAACUGGGCCAUAGUGCUGAGUGAAUGCCCUAAACACCUGUCUUCAGGCAAAUUGGAUGCUAUGACGUUACUCCAGGACUCGGGCCGGUAUGAUCAGCGUU